GAUUGAACGCUGGCGGCAUGCCUAACACAUGCAAGUCGAACGGGAGUAGCAAUACUCUAGUGGCGGACGGGUGAGGAAUACGUAGGAAUUUGCCCUUAAGUGGGGGAUAACCCGGGGAAACCCGGAUUAAUACCGCAUGACCUCGAAAGAGCAAAGUGGGGGAUCGCAAGACCUCACGCUUUUGGAGAAGCCUACGUCGGAUUAGCUAGUUGGUGAGGUAAUGGCUCACCAAGGCGACGAUCCGUAACUGGUCUGAGAGGAUGAUCAGU
rnacentral:rRNA from 1 species